AUUGAACGCUGGCGGCAUGCUUUACACAUGCAAGUCGAACGGUAACAGGGAGCUUGCUCCGCUGACGAGUGGCGAACGGGUGAGUAAUGCGUCGGAACGUGCCGAGUAGUGGGGGAUAACGCAUCGAAAGGUGUGCUAAUACCGCAUACGAACUGAGGUUGAAAGUGGGGGACCUUCGGGCCUCACGCUAUUCGAGCGGCCGACGUCUGAUUAGCUAGUUGGUGAGGUAAAGGCUCACCAAGGCGACGAUCAGUAGCGGGUCUGAGAGGAUGAUCCGCCACACUGGGACUGAGACACGGCCCAGACUCCUACGGGAGGCAGCAGUGGGGAAUUUUGGACAAUGGGCGCAAGCCUGAUCCAGCCAUGCCGCGUGUCUGAAGAAGGCCUUCGGGUUGUAAAGGACUUUUGUCCGGGAGCAAAUACCCAGUGCUAAUAACGCUGGGGGCUGAGAGUACCGGAAGAAUAAGCACCGGCUAACUACGUGCCAGCAGCCGCAGUAACAC
rnacentral:rRNA from 1 species